GACGAACCGAGCGAACGUUAUUCGGAAUCACUGGGCUUAAAGGGCGCGUAGGCGGGCGGCCAAGUCAGGGGUGAAAGCCCCCAGCUCAACUGGGGAAGUGCCUUUGAUACUGGUCAUCUCGAGGGAGAUAGGGGCGUGCGGAACUUCCGGUGGAGCGGUGAAAUUCGUAGAUAUUCGGGAGGAACACCUGUGGCGAAGGCGGCCAUCUGGACGGUAACUGACGCUGAGACGCGAAAGCGUGGGUAGCAAACAGG
rnacentral:rRNA from 1 species